GGUAGGAGGCUUUACACUCAGCCUGGGUCAGCACCGGAGCAUCCAGGCACUUCAGCUCGUCUGGGUAGUCAGCUGUGAGGAUCAGGAAGAGAUCAAAGAAAGUAGAAAUGUGGGUGAGGCCAGAGAAGGAGACAAUAAUCUAGGAUGGAACAUUGAAGAGGAACACUGCCUGUGGAGAGGACUCCAAAACGAGGCCAUGACAGAGGCACCUGAAGAAGACCUCUACAUGGGCCUCAGAUAAAGAGACCUAAGAAUGGAGGAUCCUGAGCUGGCAAUAUAAAUAUGCACAAGGGCGUGACCAGCCAGGGGGUCCUUGACUGCAACUCCCUUCAAACACUGCAAUGCAUUGGCUGUGAACCAAGUCUGGGGUGGGCAGAACAGCCUCUCCACACCCUGUAAGCCUGCCAGAAUCCGCCUGUUAAAUUCCUGGUUGGCCUGCUGCUUGCCCCAAGUGGGGCUGCAACCUCAAGCUAGCGAAGCUGUGGAUUUGUCCUGCUCAUUUCCAAGUGUUCAUUCCCAUGUUAAGCCAACAAAGCCAAGGAUUUUCAACCCCCCAGCCACUGCUCUGAAUUGAAUCUGUUUGUAUGGCAGCAAAGCUACUAGUUUUCAUGGUCAGCCCCAUCUUACUUUAAAGUCAUUGGCUGAGCUGGGGGGUGACGGGAGCAGCCACAGGCAGAAAAAGCCACAAUCUCCUACUUGCCUAAAGAUCUAGUAGUUUUUCAAGAAUAAAUGCUGCUCAAUUUUUUGCCUGCAUUUUGUCAAUUUCCAGUUUCCUGAAAUGGUUGGUUUUGAUAAACAAUUUUGUCUAGUUUUAUAUAUUUUUUGGUUGGUUGUUGCUUUUUUUUUUUUUUUUUACAGAAAGAAAUUGCCUGCCUCUUUGUGCUGCCAUAACUGGAAGGCCUUCUCCUCAUUAUUAUUAUUUUUUGAGAUGGAGUUUCGCUCUUGUUGCUCAGGCUGGAGUGCAAUGGUGCAAUCUUGGCUCACUGCAACCUCUGCCUCCCAGAUUCAAGCGAUUCUCCUGCCUCAGCCUUCCAAGUAGCUGGGAUUACAGGCGUGCGCCACCACGCCUGUAAUUUUUUUGUGUUUUUAGUAGAGGCAGGGUUUCACCAUGUUGGUCAGGCUGAUCUCAAACUCCUGACCUCAAGUGAUCCACCUGCCUUGGCCUCCCAAAGUGCUGGGAUUACAGGCGUGAGCCACUGUGCCCAGCCCACUUUCUUUUUAAACCCUCCUUUGAACAUAAAAAAUUUACAUUUUUGUUUAAUGUUUAACACAGGUCCCUUUCAAUAUCAAGCUCGUUAUACUUCAUUUUCCUAGGCAAAGAUGCAGAAAAACCAGCUUUGCAAAUGUAUGUCAAAAUUGCACACUGACUAACCGGCUUCCCUCCUCCCUGCCCUUCCUCAUUUUUCUCAAAAGCAAUACCUGAAAUAAAGGUAGAGUCCUUGUC